AGCGAACGCUGGCGGCAGGCCUAACACAUGCAAGUCGAACGAACCCUUCGGGGUUAGUGGCGGGCGGGUGAGUAACACGUGGGAACGUGCCUUUAGGUUCGGAAUAACUCAGGGAAACUUGUGCUAAUACCGAAUGUGCCCUUCGGGGGAAAGAUUUAUCGCCUUUAGAGCGGCCCGCGUCUGAUUAGCUAGUUGGUGAGGUAAUAGCUCACCAAGGCUACGGUCAGUAGCUGGUCUGAGAGGAUGACAGCCACAUUGGGACUGAGACACGGCCCAAACUCCUACGGGAGGCAGCAGUGGGGAAUCUUGCGCAAUGGGCGAAAGCCUGACGCAGCCAUGCCGCGUGGAUGAUGAAGGUCUUAGGAUUGUAAAAUCCUUUCACCGGUGAAGAUAAUGACUGUAGCCGGAGAAGAAGCCCCGGCUAACUUCGUGCCAGCCGCCGCCGUAACAC
rnacentral:rRNA from 1 species